CCUACGGGUGGCAGCAGUAGGGAAUAUUGGGCAAUGGGCGCAACCCUGACGCAGCAACGCCGCGUGGAGGAAGAAGGCUUUCGGGUUGUAAACUUCUUUUCUCAGGGACGAUGAUGGUGGCGUUAACCGAGUAAUCAGCCACUAACACCUUGCCAGCAGCAGCGGUAAUACGGAGGGGGAAAGCGUUAGUCGGAAUCACUGGGUGUAAAGAGCGGGUAGGCGGGAUAGCAAGUCAGAUGUGAAAUCCUAUGGCUUAACCAGCGGACUGCAUUUGAAACUGUUUUUCUUGAGUAUUGGAGAGGUAGGUGGAAUUCUUGGUGUAGCGGUAAAAUGCGUAGAGAUUAAGAGGAAUACUCGUGGCGAAGGCGGUCUGCUAGAACGUAACUGACGCUGAUGCGCGAAAGCGUGGGGAGCAAACAGGAUUAGAUACCCCUGUAGUC
rnacentral:rRNA from 1 species